rnacentral:rRNA from 1 species
CGGGCUUAAUGGCGCCGCCGACCGUGUCUCAAUCGGCCACGAAGGAAACCUCCAUGGCAGUUCAGGCCCGCAAUGGGGCUUAAAAAGCAGGGAGGGCUGUCACGAAAUGUUGGGCUUCCGGAAUGAGUGUGUGCGCCGUAACGACCUAGUCCGAAAGCGGGUAACAGGUUAUAAGGGGUGACGACGGAGGGCAUCCUCAGGCCUGGCACAGAGUCAAGGCCACACCGACUAGCAGGAGAGUCUGGUCGAUGCCAUGCAACGGAACCAUCCGGCAAUGGGAUGGUUGAUCGAUUAGGCUGAACCCGAGUAGGUUAUCGCGCUCCAGGCUUCUAGGGGGCGAAAGAGGGCAUCCUACAUACGCCAUAAUCGUGCCGAAAGCGGCACAACAGGGGGUGAUGACCCGUCUAAGGGUUCGUAAUGAGUGGGCAGGCGUGAGCGGCCGUCCGGCUUCGGGCGCGACGGCAAGCUGAACGUACACAAUCCGAUCGGCGGUCG